UCCGCAGUACCCGUAGGCAGUGGUGGGACAUCUCAGGAACCAAUGGAGAUAGGGCUCUUGAGGGGUCCUCUGUCUACUGAGGAAAAGCAAAGAAGAAAAACUCUCUCGUUGUGUCUUUAUUGUGCUAGUCCAGCACAUUCAGUCAAGGACUGCCCCAUUCUUCUGAAAAACAAGAAAAUGGGACCGUAGACGCCUAUCUUCUGAGGCCAUUCUCGACACUGGGGCACAUGGGAAUUAUAUAGACAUAGAGGUUGUUAAGGCAAAUAAAAUACCACUUGAAAAAAAAAA